GUCUGCAACCCGACUACACGAAGNUGGAAUCGCUAGUAAUCGCGAAUCAGAAUGUCGCGGUGAAUACGUUCCCGGGUCUUGUACACACCGCCCGUCACACCAUGGGAGUCGGGAAUGCCCGAAGUCAGUGACCCAACCUUUGGGAGGGAGCUGCCGAAGGCAGGUCUGAUAACUGGGGUGAAGUCGUAACAAGGUAGC
rnacentral:rRNA from 1 species